rnacentral:lncRNA from 1 species
UACUGAAUGAAAGAACUGGGAAUGUGGAAAUGACAAAUCGUGAGACAGUGGUCAAAGAAGAAAGAAAUAUGCUUUUGGAGUCGGGCACCUCUCCUUCCGAUAGGAGCUAGCAACAGUAUACAAGUUUUUGUGUUUUCUUGAUACAGAAGAAACAAACAUCUCUGUAACUCAUUAAUUCAUGACAACAUUGUUGUUGUUACGCCCUAGCUCCUCUACCAAACAUCGUACAUGUAUGAUAUUAAUCACAAGACUCGAUAAGCUAUUCUGCUAUUGUUGAGCUUUCUUGUGAUGAUAACAAUUCAAAACAAAAUUUAUAGAAUGAUUGAUGAUUUAGAAUUUACUAUACUACCUCGAGUAUAUCAAGAGAUGUUCCAGUGAUGUUGGUGGCAGUGGCACAACCAAAGGCUUAGGCUAGAGACAAAGAAAAUGAAGAUUUCUGAACAUCCAUUUCAACAUCUGCAUGUUGUUUGUCAAUUUCACACCAUGUCUUUAUAUAAGUAAUUAAGUACACAUGUAUAACACAUAAUGAAUACAUGCAUGAGUCAAAUUAAUUAA